UUUUCUUUUUUUUUUAAUAUUUCACUUGUUCGUAGAUCUGCUUACUUCCACUCACCAGACUGUAGAAGACAUUGAGAUUCAGAUGGCCUCAGAGACCCAGCUGCUAUUUCCUGGGCUGCCAGCGAUAUUCUGAGCAGUGUUGCUCAGGAGCACACCACACCUCCACGCCCGUAUUCAUUAGCUGGACUUUGUAUAGCUGCUGUCUUAGUCAUUCUCUCCUUUAAAUAAAAAUCAGCGCAAAAGGACAUGUCUACUUCUCACGCAUGGUCAAGCUGAGAUGUGAGGCGCGGUUCAGAGAGCGUGAAAAGUAGGCUCAGUUCAGAGACUGUUCUAGCUGCCAAGCCCAAGGAGCUGGGGAAGGAGGGGCACCGGGCUGGUCCUCCAGGGUCCGGUGCACAGAAUGAGAGCGCUUAGGGCAGGCUGGGAAGUGCCGUUUUCCUUAAGUCUUGUUUGGUUUUUAUUUUCUCUUGUGCCACCACCAAACUGUGGAGGACCUGCUGUGACCUCAGGUGUGAUCCAUUCCUCUAACAGAUGCGACCUUGAAAACUGCAGAACACUCGGGACCAGGGAACUCUUUCUGUUCACAUCAUACCCUGGAUUUUUCCCUGUGGACCGCAGGGACAGCAGAGUCUUGUUUGGCUUUCUUUGUUAGAAUUGUGACUGUGGAGUACUCUUCCUCUCACCCUCUUAACCGUCCUCCCACCUUUGUGUGUGCCCUUGUGUGCGUGUGUGUAUGUGUGUGUGUGCUUUUCCUUUGCACUAAUUAACCAAAUGAAUUUUGUGUCAUUGUCUUUGGGGCUGAUCUGUAUUUUUUAAAACUAGAGGUAUAGAAAUUGGCUCUUUUAUUAUUUGAAAAGUAUGUUUUAAAGAGGGGUCUGGUAUUGCUCUUUCUAGUUCCCUUUCAACCAAAUCUCCAAAUCUCUCCUGGCACUCCCCCCCCCAGCUUUCCUUGUGUUGGGUCGUUAUCCCCAUGGCCACCUCUGCCUCCACCUGCUGUCACCACAGCCCCAUGCCCAGGCACCCAGGACUUCUAGGAAGCUUGAGAGUCAGCCUGAAAAGGCCCCUUGCCUACUGUUGAAGAGCCACCUGCAGGGCUCCAGAGACACUGGGUUAUUAUUGUUAAGUCCCUGGCUCAGGUGAGAAGGAAGAACUUGGGAAGCGGAAAGUAACUGUGCCAUCUCUGUACCCUUUAUGGCUUCUGCACAGACUAGAGCAUCCCCACCCUGCCCCUGCCCUCGGAAGGUGAAGUCCCUGUGUGCAUUGCCCACCCCCCUUUCCUUGUCUGUAUGUCCCUGCUUAUUUAAAGCUUGCUUUCUCCCAUGCUUUCCUAGGGCAUAACCAUUUCAGGCCCCCAAAGCAUCUCUUCACCCUCUUCAUGUGCAUUUUUUUAACCAAAUGAAGUAGACAAGAAAGGCACACUCUGGAGCAACAGAAGCCCUAGUUAGUAGAAUCACUGUAUAGAUAGAGCUGUUGAUAUAUAUGUUUGUAUAUAUAUAUAUAUCAAACCAAAUUCUGAUAGAAGAUAGCUUUACAGCUGAGGGGAAAGCGGAGCCCUCUAGAGGUCAGAGCCAGCCUUAGCAUGCGCGUCCCUGCUCCUUCACCAUGGGCCAAGUGGCCCUUGUCCCUCUCACCACAGUGGAGCUGGGUCCUGAGGAGGCCACCACUCUCUGGUCCCCAGCAUCAAGGGCAUGGAUGAGGAAGGAGUGGCAGCCGGUCAGGAUGACUGGAAUUUUCCAAGCUGUUUUGCUUUGACCACACGUAUUGAACUACAGCCUGAUAGUAUAUCACAUUUCCAAAAAUGAUAUCCAUUAGGAUGGAAAGAGAACAGAUCUGUAGAAAUGUUUACCUUCCAGCUGCCCAUGAAUUCAGGACACUCUGAAUAGACAGGCACACUCGCCAGAAAGUCAGCGGGAAAGAGGAGGCCUGGUGAUGCCCGGUCCCCAGCCCCAGGCACACAGCUCCCUCCUGAGGUCACCUCACCCAGGUCUUUCUCUACUGGGUCAUCUUAGCUCAAUCUCAGUAACUCCAUGAAGCCCUGGUCUGUUGUGUUUCUCACUGUAUGGUUUCUGUAAUAAAAAGUGUUAAUCCAUGUUAAUCUGUGUGAAAAUUAUUGCGUGCAACAGUAUUUUCUCAUGUACCUCUUUCCCUCUGUGAAUUGUCCCUCUUAUUUUUUAUUUAUAAAUGUCUACUUUUUUUUAAAGACAAACCAAUGUGUUGUAGACCUCUAUGUAACUAUUCCUUAGUCUCAUAGGUAUGUUAUAAGAAUGGAUAUUUUACUUGGCUUUAGAAUGUUUUACAAGAAAACUAAUUCUUAACUGAUCAAGUCCUUGCUACUAAAAUGCUUGUGUUUUUUCAUCAUGAUGUCGUGUGCUUCUAAAUUAAUCAUUUUCGUUGUAGAAAAAUGGAGUGAAUUUAUAUUAGUCUUGGAAACUAAUAAUAGCAUUGUAAAUUUAUGAGAUGAUUUUAACAGAAAAAAUUAUAGAAGAAUAUAGUUAUUUUAAUUGUAAUAUUACUAACUGUAGGGUGAGAAGGGGGGUCCCGUUGUGGUGAACUAUGUUAUAGCUUGUUACAGUUUCUUUUGAUCAUUUUUUCGGUCUCUGAGGUGAAACGAGUUAUUAAUUAAAAUUUGUAAACUCACAUAUGCAUAUUGUAUAUGUGUAGAAAUGUAAUCACACUUUGUCUUGGAAUUACAUUAAACUGUUUGGAAUCAC